rnacentral:rRNA from 1 species
AGAGUUUGAUCCUGGCUCAGAUUGAACGCUGGCGGCAUGCCUUACACAUGCAAGUCGAACGGCAGCACGGGGGCAACCCUGGUGGCGAGUGGCGAACGGGUGAGUAAUACAUCGGAACGUGUCCUGUAGUGGGGGAUAGCCCGGCGAAAGCCGGAUUAAUACCGCAUACGCUCUACGGAGGAAAGGGGGGGAUCUCAGGACCUCCCGCUACAGGGGCGGCCGAUGGCAGAUUAGCUAGUUGGUGGGGUAAAGGCCUACCAAGGCGACGAUCUGUAGCUGGUCUGAGAGGACGACCAGCCACACUGGGACUGAGACACGGCCCAGACUCCUACGGGAGGCAGCAGUGGGGAAUUUUGGACAAUGGGCGAAAGCCUGAUCCAGCAAUGCCGCGUGUGUGAAGAAGGCCUUCGGGUUGUAAAGCACUUUUGUCCGGAAAGAAAACCUCCGCCCUAAUAUGGUGGGGGGAUGACGGUACCGGAAGAAUAAGCACCGGCUAACUACGUGCCAGCAGCCGCGGUAAUACGUAGGGUGCAAGCGUUAAUCGGAAUUACUGGGCGUAAAGCGUGCGCAGGCGGUCCGCUAAGACAGAUGUGAAAUCCCCGGGCUUAACCUGGGAACUGCAUUUGUGACUGGCGGGCUAGAGUAUGGCAGAGGGGGGUAGAAUUCCACGUAGCAGUGAAAUGCGUAGAGAUGUGGAGGAAUACCGAUGGCGAAGGCAGCCCCCUGGGCCAAUACUGACGCUCAUGCACGAAAGCGUGGGGAGCAAACAGGAUUAGAUACCCUAGUAGUCC